rnacentral:rRNA from 1 species
UACGGGGGGAGCAAGCGUUGCUCGGAUUUACUGGGCGUAAAGGGCGCGUAGGCGGCGUGACAAGUCACUUGUGAAAUCUCCGGGCUUAACUCGGAACGGUCAAGUGAUACUGUCGUGCUAGAGUACAGAAGGGGCAACUGGAAUUCUCGGUGUAGCGGUGAAAUGCGCAGAUAUCAGGAGGAACACCAAUGGCGAAGGCAGCUCGCUGGAACGGUACUGACGCUGAGGCGCGAAAGCGUGGGGAGCGAACAGG